GAUGAACGCUAGCGGGAGGCCUAACACAUGCAAGCCGAGCGGUAGAGUUUCUUCGGAAACUUGAGAGCGGCGCACGGGUGCGUAACACGUGUGCAACCUACCUUUAUCUGGGGGAUAGCCUUUCGAAAGGAAGAUUAAUACCCCAUAAUAUAAUGAUUGGCAUCAAUUAUUAUUGAAAACUCCGGUGGAUAGAGAUGGGCACGCGCAAGAUUAGAUAGUUGGUGAGGUAACGGCUCACCAAGUCAAUGAUCUUUAGGGGUCCUGAGAGGGAGAUCCCCCACACUGGUACUGAGACUCGGACCAGACUCCUACGGGAGGCAGCAGUGAGGAAUAUUGGACAAUGGGUGAGAGCCUGAUCCAGCCAUCCCGCGUGAAGGAUGACGGUCCUAUGGAUUGUAAACUUCUUUUGUACAGGGAUAAACCUACCCUCGUGAGGGUAGCUGAAGGUACUGUACGAAUAAGCACCGGCUAACUCCGUG
rnacentral:rRNA from 1 species